UACGUAGGGGGCUAGCGUUGUCCGGAAUCAUUGGGCGUAAAGCGCGCGUAGGCGGCCAGAUAAGUCCGGUGUGAAAGUCACAGGCUCAACCUGUGAAUGCCGCUAGAAACUGUCUGGCUUGAGUCCGGAAGGGGCGAGUGGAAUUCCUGGUGUAGCGGUGAAAUGCGCAGAUAUCAGGAGGAACACCAAUGGCGAAGGCAGCUCGCUGGAACGGUACUGACGCUGAGGCGCGAAAGCGUGGGGAGCGAACAGG
rnacentral:rRNA from 1 species